rnacentral:rRNA from 1 species
GAUGAACGCUGGCGGCGUGCCUAAUACAUGCAAGUAGAACGCUGAAGCUUGGUGCUUGCACCGAGCGGAUGAGUUGCGAACGGGUGAGUAACGCGUAGGUAACCUGCCUCUUAGCGGGGGAUAACUAUUGGAAACGAUAGCUAAUACCGUAUAAAAGACGAUAUCGCAUAAUAUUGAUUUGAAAGGUGCAAUUGCAUCACUAAGAGAUGGACCUGCGUUGUAUUAGCUAGUUGGUGAGGUAACGGCUCACCAAGGCGACGAUACAUAGCCGACCUGAGGGGGUGAUCGGCCACACUGGGACUGAGACACGGCCCAGACUCCUACGGGAGGCAGCAGUAGGGAUAUCUUCGGCAAUGGGGGCAACCCUGACCGAGCAACGCCGCGUGAGUGAAGAGGGUUUUCGGAUCGUAAAGCUCGUGU